rnacentral:rRNA from 1 species
GACGAACGCUGGCGGCGUGCCUAAUACAUGCAAGUUGAGCGCUGAAGGUUGGUACUUGUACCAACUGGAUGAGCAGCGAACGGGUGAGUAACGCGUGGGAAAUCUGCCUUUGAGCGGGGGACAACAUUUGGAAACGAAUGCUAAUACCGCAUAAAAACUUUAAACACAAGUUUUAAGUUUGAAAGAUGCAAUUGCAUCACUCAAAGAUGAUCCCGCGUUGUAUUAGCUAGUUGGUGAGGUAAAGGCUCACCAAGGCGAUGAUACAUAGCCGACCUGAGAGGGUGAUCGGCCACAUUGGGACUGAGACACGGCCCAAACUCCUACGGGAGGCAGCAGUAGGGAAUCUUCGGCAAUGGACGAAAGUCUGACCGAGCAACGCCGCGUGAGUGAAGAAGGGUUUCGGAUCGUAAAACUCUGUUGGUAGAGAAGAACGUUGGUGAGAGUGGAAAGCUCAUCAAGUGACGGUAACUACCCAGAAAGGGACGGCUAACUACGUG